ACUACGAGGACUCGGGUUUGAGAAGGGCUAAAACGAACCCAGCUUGGGUUCCUCACUGCCCGGGAAAGGGAAAGGGGGCAGGUGCUUUCCAGCAUCUCACCUCUUCAAGCCUCGGGGCGGUAGUCGGCGGCGAAUUUUUGCGGCAACUGGGGAGCAAGGAGGCAUGGCAGGCCCCAGCACAGGCAGGGGUGAUGGGGAUGAAGGCAGCAGGCAGAUGCCGAGUGCACCCCGCCGAAGGACGGGACAACUUUGAGGAGCAGAACCUGAGAGCAGGGAAACACCUCAGUACCAAAACUCAGAUCGUUCCCGUUUCAAAGAGUCUCCAGGGUCGCUAUUUCGACGCUCUUCCCCGCUCGUUAGAGCCCGUCCGUUCAAAGGCUUCCCCGGCUAAACUUCCCGACAACUUGACUAAAACCUUUUGAAAGGCGUCUCCCAUUCAAGCCUAUCACUGUGGGAUCUCGGCACAGCUUCUCCUCCUGCUGAUGCAGAGGUCUCUGCAUCUCACAAAAACAAACUGAUUUUACCCAGUUUCUCCUUUCCAAGCACCAUCUUUCGCCGUGACGUAAGAGAAGCACGCAGCUGUAUAACAGCCUGAUGCAGAGGCAUACACCUGCGUGAGGCUGUCCCUCCUUUGUGGAGGCAAUUCGCAGUGUCGCUGAGUUAUCCUCUCGAGUUUUUGUUACCUACAGCUAAACAAAAGCUUCGAGGUGAAGGUGAUGACUCCGUUCCGGGGCGGGGACCACCCUGAUCUCCCCCAAAACGGGCGUGGGAAGCGCAUGUGAUGGCGUCACGGGCGUGGGGUGGCUCAGGGAGAGCCACGCCUGGAAGGGAGAGGGGGUCUUAAUGAAAUCACAACAUCCAACCGGUUUUCUAUUAAAUCCUGCUAAUUUCCUAGGUGAAGGCUGUGAAGUGAAUGUGAGGAAGCAUUAAAAGGGAAUUGAAUUUGCAUUCCUUAUGCUACAGGCACAUGUUUACAUGACCUUUAAAACAGAAUUAAAGCUGUAUCAUCAGCAGCUGUAGGCAAUUCACAUUACUAAGGCAAUCAAAUCAGAAGGCUAAACUAACUAUAAAACAUAAAUUAAACUGAUAGAGAAUCAUCCUAAUUCACUAGGUUUACUUGCAAUUUACUUAUCCGCUACUAGUAAUUUCUAAACAGUUUGGAGAAGAGGCAAACGGAAAAUAGUUGAAGGCGGCACUCCAAAAAGGUGUUGUCCGAGGGCCAGAGAUGGCUUUCCCAGGAGUUCUUCAUUAGCGAGUGCAAUAACAGCCUGGGCACAGUCCCCCCAAGGCGUUCCCCAAGCUCCAUUAAGGGCCUACGAACUGGUACCUGCAACCUGUGUAUCACUAAACCCCCGAAUUUACUGGGUUUAGCACAAGCUCCCCGGAGUGCUUUUGCUCUGCUGAAGUCCCUCCUGCAAGCCGUCUGUUCUCUAAAAUAUGAAAUAUCUGCAUGCCAAAUAGAUCUCGCGUUACAGGGCUCCCUUCUUCCCCCAUCCCCAAAAGGGACGCUUUGCAAUGUCUGAAGCACGAUAAAAUCGAUAGUGCCGGGGAUUUCAUCGAAAGAUUGCAAUGCGCCUUUCCCCGGCCCUGUUCCAGGGCGGAGCGGGGCCGCCACCGGGCAGCCCCUGCCCCGUUGCCCUGGCAAGGCCCGGCCGCAGCCUCCGAGCACCCCUGGCUUUGAUUUAUUCCUAUUUAUUUCUUGCAGCCCAGGGGCUGCCUCUCCCCCUUUGAUGGCGAUUCUCCCUGUGCGCUUCCAUUUGUCCUGGGGACUGCGCUGAUUUAUUGCCCGUCCGCCUCCUGAUGAACUUCUCCCCCGGGAAUCCCCGGGGAAAAUAGAGAGGGAGAGGUGCGGGGAAGGGCUGGUGCAGCCUCCGGUAGCUUUAACCAGGUUCUGGGGAGAAAAGUGUCAGGAGAUGUCAAGGGACCUCGUACGCUGGGGAAAAAGCGGCUGGAGAGGGCUCAGCCCCAGCAGCUUCUGAGAGUACUGUUGCGAGAGAGGACGACAGCGAAGCCGAGACAGAUGGAAGCGCAGGGUGGGGACGACUACUGGGGGUCCUCCGCUCCAGCAUACCCUGCCCCCCCGGGGUGCGCCGGGACCGGGCAGCGCCGCAUCUCUAUGGCCUCCAGAGCACGUCCCGGCUCGGUGGAGGCGGGGUGCAGGACCCAUCACCAGAUUUCGAGGCUCGGGCUUCCCGGAGAAGGUCCACAGCAAAGCCUUUGUCUGCUGUACUGACCUUGCGCCCAGCCAGGCGCAAGAUCCGCCACCCACGGCCAGCAAAGGGGCUGGCGCAAAACAUCACCUGCGUGGUCACGAUCCCCUGUGACCAAAAGAAAUCUCAAAUGCCUCAUGUCCCUUCACACU